GAUCCUGGCUCAGGACGAACGCUGGCGGCGCGCCUAACACAUGCAAGUCGAACGAGAGAGAGGAAGCUUGCUUCCUCAAUCGAGUGGCGAACGGGUGAGUAACGCGUGAGGAACCUGCCUCAAAGAGGGGGACAACAGUUGGAAACGACUGCUAAUACCGCAUAAGCCCACGGGUCGGCAUCGACCAGAGGGAAAAGGAGCAAUCCGCUUUGAGAUGGCCUCGCGUCCGAUUAGCUGGUUGGUG
rnacentral:rRNA from 1 species